rnacentral:misc_RNA from 1 species
GAGACAAGCAUAUGACUACUGGCAGGAUCAACCAGGUAGCAUUCCUCCACGACGCCGCGCGCCGCCCUUGCGCCGCCGGGGGCGGUCCCCAAGGGGCGGGCGCGGCCGUCACACGUUAUCAUAUCGGAGCUCCUCUUAGGGCCGGGGAACCGUUCCCCAGCCCGCGGCGUGCGCUGGGUCCGAGAGCAUUGCACUUCCCCGUGGGCCACGCGGCCGGAUGAGGCUCGGUGGAACACAGGGGGCGCUUCGCUGUCCUCCCGCGCCCGUCAGAAGGCGCCGGAGGGAGGCUGAUUGCGAGCGGCCCGCUUCCCCUGAAGGGGUAGGGGGCACAAGAACCGGCCUCUGGGGCACCAUCCCACCCCAAGGCAACCGACACGGAUUGCCUGCCGACCGUUCGGUGGACGAGCACGGAGCCAGCCGGCAGAGACAAUCCAAACACCCUCAC